rnacentral:rRNA from 1 species
CUUGGUCAUUUAGAGGAAGUAAAAGUCGUUACAAGGUUUCCGUAUGGUGUAACCUGCGGAAGGAUCAUUACAGAGUUCAUGCCCUUCGGGGUAGAUCUCCCACCCUUGUGUAAUAUUAUCGAAUGUUGCUUUGGCGGGCCGCAAGCCUCGCUUGCCCGGAUUCGCGUCCGGCGUGCCCGCCAGAGGACCCCUAAACUCUGAAUGUUAGUGUCGUCUGAGUACUAUUAAAUAGUUAAAACUUUCAACAACGGAUCUCUUGGUUCUGGCAUCGAUGAAGAACGCAGCGAAAUGCGAUAAGUAAUGUGAAUUGCAGAAUUCAGUGAAUCAUCGAAUCUUUGAACGCACAUUGCGCCCCUUGGUAUUCCGGGGGGCAUGCCUGUUCGAGCGUCAUUAAUACCAAUCUAGCCCGGCUAGGUGUUGGGCCUCGCCGUCUGGCGGGCCUUAAAAUCAGUGGCGGUGCUCCUCAGCUCUACGCGUAGUAAUUCUUCUCGCUGUAGGGUCUGUGGAGAUACUUGCCAGCAACCCCAAAUUUUUUCAGGUUGACCUCGGAUCAGGUAGGGAUACCCGCUGAACUUAAGCAUAUCAAUAAGCGGAGGA